AUGAUUUUGACUCUCAGGUGCUCCAUGAGUGAAGAAAAUGUUGAAUAACUCCUUAAGGACUCCACCUGUGCCACCAAUCCUCUCUGUUGCAUCCUCAUCCAGUGCUAGACUGGUUAGUAUUUCUAUGCCGAGCUUUUGAAGCAUUGGGUGUUUCUCUCCAUGUCUUAAGAUAACUCUAAUGUUGCUUAUGGUGAAAAUUAUCUCUGAAAUCUCUCUUCGUAGAUGACUACCUGUGGUACCUGUUGUGCUUGCCAACAUCUUCACCACUUGCAGAGAUCGUUUCACAGUCAAAAUCUGAGAAUGUGCAACAUUGUCUUCUUUCAACAUCCUCUCUCCAGAAUGUGUCAAGUCAAUUAUUUUGGGCAGGAGGCCCCUUGUGUUACCAAUCUUUCCACAUAUAUCAUGAUCAUGAGCCAGUCUUUUCAGGAUAAGAAGUCCUAAAUGGUUGAACGUCCAGAAUCCGUAAUGUAUAUGAUCAGUGAUGAUUGUCUUUUCACCAAUUUCAUCAGCUGUGGCGCUGAAGCAUCUAUUGUUUUGAAGCAGAGAUGAUAUUGAUUCCAUUGCACCUGGAAUUCCAGCAACUCGCAGGGAGUUCUGCUUUCUGCCAACUAGUUCAGAUAAGAUUUCUGCAGCUGACCUC
rnacentral:lncRNA from 1 species